rnacentral:lncRNA from 1 species
GGAAUAAACAGCAUAAGUGAAACAAAAGACCUACCGGCAUCCUCUGCCUGGGGUCCCGCCCACCAGGGAGAUGAGACUCCAGGCUUUUACUGGUUCUGUGCAAGGCCAGGCGCUGUGGGUUUUCUGGAACACCCAGACUUCUUUCUCACUGCCGGAGGCUUCUAACUUGGCUCUACAAUUAGAUCCAGUCAAACGCUGCUGGAAAUGGCUCAUGCUCUGAGUGGAGCUACCGUAACGGACCAUCAGGGUUUCCCCAGAAAAGAUCUGCUGCAAUGUGCCCCAGCUCCAAAGGCACCAACCACGACCUCGGCUGAAACAGGAGCACGACUCAGAAGCUGCUCCGGUGGGUGUCCGUCUUUCCUGUGUUCCUGCAGGGCCAUCACACUGCGUGCACACACAGGGGACCGGAUACUGCAGUCCUGUGCAGAAGGCGGAAGACAGGAGAUGGCACUGGGGAUUGGAAAUUACAGACACGGAAGCUGUGAUCAGAAGCGUUCAACCGCCAGCUCUGUGGAGGCUGAGGCCCACCUGCCAGAGGGCUCCAAGCUCCACUAAUGGGAGCGUGCAUUGCCUGGCCCAACAAAGGCUGCCUAACAGAGGCCAUUUCCAGUUGCUAUAACUGAAUGCCGCAUAGCAAGCAGGUUAUAAAGAAUAAAGUCUUGUUUGACUCAUGGCUUGGAAGGUGG